rnacentral:rRNA from 1 species
UGCAGUCGAACGCUUCUUUUUCCACCGGAGCUUGCUCCACCGGAAAAAGAGGAGUGGCGAACGGGUGAGUAACACGUGGGUAACCUGCCCAUCAGAAGGGGAUAACACUUGGAAACAGGUGCUAAUACCGUAUAACAAUCAAAACCGCAUGGUUUUGAUUUGAAAGGCGCUUUCGGGUGUCGCUGAUGGAUGGACCCGCGGUGCAUUAGCUAGUUGGUGAGGUAACGGCUCACCAAGGCCACGAUGCAUAGCCGACCUGAGAGGGUGAUCGGCCACAUUGGGACUGAGAUACGGCCCAAACUCCUACGGGAGGCAGCAGUAGGGAAUCUUCGGCAAUGGACGAAAGUCUGACCGAGCAUCGCCGCGUGAGUGAAGAAGGUUUUCGGAUCGUAAAACUCUGUUGUUAGAGAAGAACAAGGAUGAGAGUAAAAUGUUCAUCCCUUGACGGUAUCUAACCAGAAAGCUACGGCUAACUACGUGCCAGCAGCCGCGGUAAUACGUAGGUGGCAAGCGUUGUCCGGAUUUAUUGGGCGUAAAGCGAGCGCAGGCGGUUUCUUAAGUCUGAUGUGAAAGCCCCCGGCUCAACCGGGGAGGGUCAUUGGAAACUGGGAGACUUGAGUGCAGAAGAGGAGAGUGGAAUUCCAUGUGUAGCGGUGAAAUGCGUAGAUAUAUGGAGGAACCCAGUGGCGAAGCGGCUCUCUGGUCUGUACUGACGCUGAGCUCGAAGCGUGGGAGCGAACAGAU